UUAAGGUUUUAAAUGAGUGCUAAGAGAAUGGAUUUUCAAAAAAAUUCUUUUUUAAGUUUAAAAAUUAAAGUUAUUUUUAUUUGUGAAGAAACAAUAAUAAAAAUUAAAGACAAGAAGACCCUAUGAAUUUUUAUAAACUUUAAUAUUUAAUUAAAUAUUAAAGUUUAUUUAAUUGGGGCGAUUGAGAAAGAUAAAAAACUUUUUUUAUUUAAAGAGAUCCAUUAUUAAUGAUUUUAUGUAAAAAAUACUCUAGGGAUAACAGCGUAAUAAUUUUAGAUAGAUCUUAUAGAAAAAAUAGUUUGCGACCUCGAUGUUGGAUUAGGAUACUUGUUUAAUGAAGAAGUUAAAUAAAGAA
rnacentral:rRNA from 1 species